UUUUCGAGGCCAAACUGGAAUGCUGGAGUUCUAAAUUCUGCGUAUCCCUUCUUGCAUGUGUCUUGUUGUCGACUUGCGCCAUCUUUCCCUGUGUUUCAGGCCUCACAAGAUUAAAACUUGGUAAGAAAGUAGACACGGAAGUGUGUCUCUGUCCAGUUCCACCUAAACUGUGCUGGCAGAAACUUUGGCUCCUGCUGCUUAGCUCCUUCAGCGACCUGCGAGUCUGUCUCACGAAAAGAUACCGACCGCCAUCUUGAAUUUCUAAGCACUAAACACGAAGAGAUGUGAGUUUCUCAAAAGAUGCUUCAGACCCUCUGAGCCCCUUUGUCUGCGUGGAACGGGUCUCUAGUCGCGGGUGGACAAAGCGUAGGAUGAGUGACAAACAGACGCACACAGGAGAGGUCGAGGAAUCUGAAUGUCAUUUUUCAAAUCGAGCAUCAGACUUUUUAUGCAGAAGACAAUAAGGAAGUUGGAUGACAUACCUGCAAGGUACAAAUGAGCUUUCCCAGAUAUCUCUGAAGAUACCAUUUUGAAUAGGACUCACAUCACUCACUGCCUUGGUAGGGUCAUCUUUGUUCCACAAGAGGAAAACUGUCCACGAGAGUUCUAGGAUGGAUUUACCAGCUCUUCUUCUCUCCUGAAGACUGUUGUCCUGCCUAUGCCCAGACCCAUCUACAUCAGAUCUGAGGAGUGAGUCUUCUAAACUAUGAAGGACAUAUUAUAAUAUUCAAUAAACAAUCUGUGGCCUCCAUAUGCACAGAAUGUGAUGCUGGGCAAACAGAGAGCUCUGAGCAAAAGUUCUAAGAAAGAAAGUCUUCUAAUGGAAGCAUCUGCAAGCCUGAUGAACUAAUUUGAACCUCAGUGACCAUGAAGAGUUUGGAAUGUUACAGGUCCAGGGUCUAUUUACAAUUCAUCUUGGGUUAUCUUUAGCUCUCUAAGUAGCCAUUCUUUCCUUAUAUUUGUGUGAACCUAACAUUCUGUGCCUAACAGAUUAAGAAGUCUUUUGGAAUGUAGUAAAUCUGUGGCUUCCACUAAUUGAAAGACUGAGUGUCAUCAGGUAGUACCUGAGCCCUACAGUCAAUACUUCUCUGCAUGUUUUCACUAAUGUACCUGAAAACUGCUUUGAUCUUUUUAGUUUCUUUGUUCUGUUACUAUAAACUAAUUCCACAUUGGAACAUGGAAUUUGACACUACACCCGUGUUCCCAGGCUAUGGUCGCUCUUAUUUGGCUCUGGAAUAAAUUGAAAUGAGAUGUGUGCUUCUGCCUCAACAUUAAAUUUUCUGGUGAUAACCAU
rnacentral:lncRNA from 1 species